rnacentral:rRNA from 1 species
UACGGAGGAUGCAAGCGUUAUCCGGAAUCACUAGGUUUAAAGGGUGCGUAGGCGGGAUAAUAAGUCUGUGGUGAAAGGUUGUAGCUUAACUAUAAAAUUGCCAUGGAUACUGUUAUUCUUGAAUUACAAUGAGGAUGGCGGAAUGUGACAUGUAGCGGUGAAAUGCAUAGAUAUGUCAUAGAACACCAAUUGCGAAGGCAGCUAUCUGGUUGAGGAUUGACGCUGAGGCACGAAAGCGUGGGGAUCGAACAGG